UCCCUGGUGGCUCAGUGGGUUGGGGAUCUAGCAUUGUCACUGUUAUGACAUGGGUUUGAUCCCUGUCCUGGGAA
rnacentral:tRNA from 1 species